CUGAAGUGUGAGUCUCAGUUAUCUUUGGUUUAACCAGAAUUCUGAAUGCAACUUUGCAAGUUUUCUUUCCUUUACUCCCCACCCCCAUCCCCCAAUCUUUGAACCUUUGUAGCAAUCCUUUCUGGGAGUCAGGGAAGGUAGAAUCCUUUUCCUCACACUCCACCUCAUAGCUCUCCCCAUACCGGUCCUCCUUGGCACCAAGGGCCUUCUGCAGGAGCUGGAGGGCCAGGUUCCAUUCCAGAAAGAGCCCUGUCUGCUUAUGCAUGUAGGUGACAGGAGAGACGCCCUCUCAAUGAGGGUGUGCCUGCCUGAGUGAGAAAGAAUUUUGGGAGCUCUGCACAGCUUGUAAGUGUCAACAAAAGUGUACCAUGAAAUGUUGUUUCUGGGUCUUGGGUCCAUUCAUAUUUUAUAGGCUUCUUGGGAGCUUGCUUCCGUGGUGGUGGUGGUGGUGGGACAAGUCACGAAUAUUCAGGGUGAGCAUGUAAACAGGCUCUUCUGAAGAGUGUCCUGGAACCACAGCAGACACGGCAAAGCUGCCCUCCUCCCCAGAGCGCUGUGUGCUUCCCAUGUGCUUCUUCACUCACACCUACUUGGUACAUUCUACAGUCAAGGGAGCCAUACAUAACAGCCGCUGAAGCACCUCUUCCUCAGAUAGAGCGAGGUGUGGGAACUUGUGGUGAGGAAAGGGAGGAUGAGACUGUUUAUUAUGUGCACCAGCGGGUGGCAGGAUGUGACAGUGUUUCCUGAAGCAAGGAAGUCCCAGCUCAUGGGAGCCUGGAGUUAGAGGGCAAAGGUGCCGGGGUUACCUGGAAUAUGGGGAACAAGAGUCAGCAGCAAAAGCAAAGUAAAACAUCCAAUAUGAAAUCAGUUCUUCAAAGUAAAACAUCCAAUAUGAAAUCAGUUCUUGAGGCCCAGCAGAGCCGACAGGCGAGUGCUGGGGACCUUCUGAGAAGGCAGUGUGCACAUUCAGAGAGUGGUGGUGGCGGUGCUGGGUCCUUGACUAGACCAGGUUAGAUGGUAAUGGAGAAAGCAGGGAGGUCUGUGUGUGUUCUUGGAGCCAAAUCACAGGGACAUUCAGGAGUGUUUAGCUGUCGUGGUGACAGGGCUGAGAAAGCAGAUGUCAGUAAAUCUUUAUGAGUCCUGACAGGUGUUGUAAUAAACCUCAACAAAUCCAUACCCUCUGUAUAAAGGAAGUGAGGUCUUACAAAAUGGGGAGGGUCGAGGUCAUUCCUCACAUAGCUUCAACCAUUAUUAUGCGUUUUCUUCCCACCAAGUUAGGAAGAUCGGCUCUGAGCGGUAUCGUACGGGUCCAUGGUGUCCCUGGCACAGACGGUCAUGCCUGGCCUCCCAGUCAGUCUUCAUGGUCAGUUGGUGUAAGUGCUGCCCACCACCAGGAAAGGAGGGGUUGUUUGGAGACGCCAUUUCCACACAUGGCUCUGUCUUUAGACUGCACAGUGUCACACAAGCCAAAUAACCUCGCUGUGCCUUAGUGUCUCGUGGAGGAGACAUUACCUGACCCAGGGACUACCUCAGGGGAGUUUUGUGAGAGGAAAAGAGAGUAAAGUGGGAAGACUCAAGGGCCUUUGGUACCAAGGUUCUCGGUGCCGACUACUACGUGCUACACUCUCCAGGAAGUUAAAAGGGAGUCGAUGACCCUUCCCACCUGUGGCCAAUUGAAUCAGAACCUCAGGUAACGAGAUGCCUUGAGGUGCCUUGAAACAUUACUUCGGUAAGGAGAACAAACACAUUAUUAUCUUGGAAGAAUCACUUAAGGAUUAGGCUAAAAAAAAAUACUCUUUGAAGCAAGCGGUUCUGUAAGAACAAUCAGAUGUUGAUACGUGUAUUCAUAUAUAAGUAUUAUCCGAGCAGUCUCUCAGUUUGCUUCUCAUCCAAGCAUCUGGAAAAAAAAUCAAACAUGCUUUCAUUUACCUGAGCAGCGUAUCAAGUCCUUGAUAGCAAAUGUACACAGACACGAAUCUAUAAAUCUAAUAAUAUAUACUAGAGUUAUUCGUUAAUUAUGGGAGAAAUGCCCCUCCCCUCACACUUGACUUCAAUGGCAAUUACUAUAAAGUCCAUUUUGCCAAGAAUAUAUAAGUGCCUCUGUGUUGUGAGGUAGCAUGGAGCUGGCGUGCACACCAGCUGGCAGUGUGUUUCGGUGGCUCUGCGGGAUGACACAUGCACAGGACACUGGGGAGUGGGGGAGAUGGCCCGUGAUCCACAGCGCCAGCCCGGGGCAGUGAUGCUAUGAGGUGUUCUUAUGAACAGCUGCGGUUGUGUUCAUGGGCAAACUCAGUCCUGUCGUGACUGUGGCAGGGAGGAGGGGAUCCGUGAACAAAAUGACAGGGUGCCAAAGUGGGCUGCAUGUGGGAUGUGGGUGCUGUCGUGAGGACUCGGUGGUUGAUGUAUGUGCCUCCAGCCCUGGACACGGAGCCUGCACCUAAGAGGAAAUUUCUGAAAGAAGGCAACUAUAUGAAUGUUUUAAAUGCUUGGAGCAUUAAAGAUAUUUCAAAUGUU
rnacentral:lncRNA from 1 species